GAUGAACGCUGGCGGCGUGCCUAAUACAUGCAAGUAGAACGAUGAAGGAGGAGCUUGCUCUUCCGGAUGAGUUGCGAACGGGUGAGUAACGCGUAGGUAACCUGCCUGUUAGCGGGGGGUAACUAUUGGAAACGAUAGCUAAUAUCGCAUGACAACAGUUAUAGCAUGAUAACUGUUUAAAAGGGGCAACUGCUCCACUACCAGAUGAACCUGCGUUGGAUUAGGAAGUUGUUGAGGGAACGGCUCACCAAGGCGACGAUACAUAGCAGCCCGGGGAGGGGGGUCCGCCAAACUGGGAAUGGGACACGGCCCAGACUCCUACGGGGGGCAGCAGUAGGGAAUCCUCGGCAAUGGGCGGAAGGCUGGCCGGGCAACGCCGCGUGAGUGAAGAAGGGUUUCGGAUCGUAAAGCUCUGUUGUAAGAGAAGAACGAGUGUGGGAGUGGAAAGUUCACACUGUGACGGUAUCUUACCAGAAAGGGACGGCUAACUACGUG
rnacentral:rRNA from 1 species